rnacentral:tRNA from 1 species
AAUAAGAUGCCUGAUAAAAGGAUUAUUUUGAUAGAAUAAAUUAUGUAAUACAAUUACUCUUAUUA